rnacentral:lncRNA from 1 species
GGUAGCUGUAUUGACUAUUGAAUCAGUGAACAAUUAAUGUAUCACCGAAUGGGAUUGGAAGGUACGAACAGCGACUCUCGAUCAACAACUAUAACAUCAAAGAUUUCCUUAUAUUUGAAGUACUAGCAACUGAAUUUAAACAAAUAGAUCAAAUUUCAAUCCUAAUUAUGCAGUUCAAGCAUUACAGUCCACGAUUCAAUAUGAUUUCAAUAAAUUAAAACUAAACAGAUCAAAACUCGAGCAGGCAAGCUGAGCACAGAUAAAAAUGGCUUCAUUUCACUCAAAUUUGAAGUUACAAGGGUGUGGAUUUCAACUGUGUACCUGGAGAUUGCAAAACAAGAUGGAAAGUGAGGUUAGCACAGCGACGGGCAAGCAGCAGCAGAUUUGAACACCCAACAAAACUCAAACUCAACACAAAUUUACACACAGCCAAUCCUAGGAUCCAAUUUUGAAUUAUUUUCAAACCCAGACCACCUCAUAAACUUCAGAACUCGAAAAAUUGCAGAAAUCCAAACAGGAGAGCAAUGGAACAUGAAAACUUCAACCAAGCUGGACCCAAAGCAUUUCUAACACACGAUCAAACCAUUUUUAACUAUAAAGAUUCUGAAAUUGUCCAGUAAUCUACUAAACAGCUUGAAUACAACCAAAAUGACUCGAAAUUGAACUCAAGAACAACCAGAAAACUUCCACAACCAAAACCGGUGAGUUAAGGUUUUGGGGUCGAGAUUUGAUUUAAGAUUCAACGAGUUCCAGUGAUAUUCGUGGAAAACCAAUGGUGGAAAAGGCAUGAGGACUACAAGAUGAAGCUUUGGUGUGAUUUUGGUGAGAGUUGGAGCUUUUCUGUGGUGACAAUGGCGGAACUAGGGUUGGGUGAUGGAGAAGAUGAAGAGUAC